rnacentral:rRNA from 1 species
UACAGAGGGUGCGAGCGUUGUCCGGAAUUACGGGGCGUAAAGGGCGCGUAGGCGGCUUGGUAAGUCGGGGGUGAAAGUCAGCGGCUCAACCGCUGGACUGCCUUCGAGACUGCCUGGCUUGAGCAUGGUAGAGGCUGGCGGAAUUCCCGGUGUAGCGGUGGAAUGCGUAGAGAUCGGGAAGAACAUCGGUGGCGAAGGCGGCCAGCUGGGCCAUUGCUGACGCUGAGGAGCGAAAGCGUGGGGAGCGAACAGG